rnacentral:lncRNA from 1 species
CCGCUUGCUUGUAUCUUCUGAGUAUGCAAAUCUCUUGCAUUUGGAAGAAAUAGUGCUUAACAGCUUGUAUUAACUAUUAAUUUUCUAUUCUUUCAGAAAGAUUCUACGUUUCUGGAACAAGCAAAUCGCAUGAUACUCCGUACUCCUAUCCCCCGACCUGGAGAACCUACUGAGGUUUCAUCGGUGGUGGCAUUCCUAUGCUUCCCAGCUGCUUCAUAUGUCACCGGGCAGGUUAUUUGUGUUGACGGUGGAUACUCUAUCACUGGGUUUUAGCGCCACAGGCAGCGAAAAUUAUCUUUGGAACGUCUUCACUGUCUUGUGUGCCAUUCUAAUAAGCUCUUUUUAAAUAAAGAAGAUUCUGUGUUACUUUUGAGUUGUUUACAUUGUCAAUUGUCCUGAAUUUUGCAACCUUCCAUCUUUGAUAAAUAAUAAAUUUCCAAUUUAAAAGACUCCUCUGAAUCCUUUUAGAUCAAGAAAUGUACUCCAUGAAUCGACAAGAAAUACGAACCUAUCAGCUACUAAAAUCCAACAGUAUGAUAUCUGAUGCUCAGAUUAAAAUGAGAUGAAUUUAUUUGGGUUGUUUUGGCUAGAUUCACCCCAAAGUUAAUACCUGCUUACAUCACUUUGAUCAUCAACAGUUAUAACAUUUAUGCAUUUCAUCACAAGUUAGCUAUUCCUAUACAUCAUUUUGUUUCUCCUUCUUCCCCAUCAAUCACUUAUUGUGAAGUGUUGAAAACACGUGUUGGGGGGACUUAGUAUAAGAUUUUUAUGUAUCCAACCCAAAAAACUAGCAUUUUAGGUGGAGUGACCUACCAUCUUAUAAACCCAAGCAUCUCCCCUUUACUAGCCAAUGUGGGACACAACUCAACAAUCCCCCCCCUCGGACGAAACCACCGCCGAACUCCGGUCCUUUCGUCCGACAUACCUGAGUUGUUCCACCACCACAUUCCGGAUACUAGGAUCUAGCUCUGAUACUACUUGUUGGAGGGACUUAGCAUAAGAUUUAUAGGUAUCCAACCCAAAAGACUAGCCAAUGUGGAACACAACUCAACAAUCCCCCACUCGGACAAAACCACCGUCGGACUUUGGUCCUUUCGUCCGACACACCUGAGUUGUUCCACUACCAUAUUCCGGCUACUAAGGUCUAACUCUGAUACCACUUGUUGGAGGGAUUUAGCAUAAGAUUUCUAUGUAUCCAACCCAAAAAACUAGUCUUUUAGGUGGAGUGACCUACCAUCUUAUAAACCCAAGCAUCUCUCUUUUACUAGCCAAUGUGGGACACAACUCAACAAUCCCCCCCCUUGGACGAAACCACUGCCGAACUCCGGUCCUUUCGUCCAACAUAUAUGAGUUGUUCCACCACCACAUUUCGGAUACUUGGGUCUAACUCUGAUACCAAAUAUGUUAGAACUCAAGUUAGAAUGGAAGAAGAUUCUUAUCUCAGCAACAAGAAUUAAUAAAUCUGAUAAUUCUUCUGUUAUUUCAGAGUUCUCCAAUUCGGGUUUGGAGUAAACCACAAUGACAAAUCUUAUUUUUCCACCCCCAACUACUUGUUUUACAACUUAUUAAAUAAUGAAGCAAAACAACGGCUAACUCCUAUUUUAACUCAACUAUUGAAGCUACUAACAAGAUAUAGAGAUUUUCCAGCACAAGACUCGGUCCUUUAUGCAUCCAACACUUAACCAAGCCUUUUAGCCCCUACGUCAUUAGUAUUGCUCACAUCCAGAAGUGCCAGAUACUUUGGAUUAGGCUUCCUAGCCCCGGUGGUUUUGCGAGGUUCAACAACACGGCAUGGCAAUCUAUAAAGAAUUUAUCUUAUUGGUUAAGCUGUCGGUGAUAGAACAAGUACAAAAAAAUUGUUCCCUAAUGAAUUAUAAUCAAGUAAUUGAAGCUGAUAACCAUGUGGAAUCGACUUGUUAAAAAUAGAAAUUUCAUAAAGUCAUGAGUUUGGAUAAAAUCAUGCUCCUGCCAAUAUCAAAGGUCUACGAAUAAUAAAUGGCCAAAAUUUGAAGUCUAUGGUCACCAGUUAAGAGGGUCUAUCCGCCGCUCUGCGGCAAGAGAGAGAAAUGAUAAUAAUAUAAAUGGUGGGGCACUGUUAAGUUAACAUAUAAUCUUCAACCUCAAAUUUUUGACAAACCAACCAGACCUCAUACCAGUUACUGAGAGAUAAAAAUUUGUCAGUCAAUAUGGGUAAUGACAGUGUCUAGGUCUUUUCUUGCUGUGCACGCUGUCUCUGUAUUCUGCUUUUGCUUACUGGUGGCUGUUCCUGAAGUCCUUGGUGUAAGGGCUUCUACAGCUGCCAGGAAUGAGACAGACCGCCUAGCCCGCUUCUGCUUCUUUUCAAGUCAAUGAUUAUUGAUGACUUGGGGUUUUAGGCUCAUGGAAUAAAUCCCUCCACUUUUGCCGUUGGCAAGGUCUUGCAUGUAGUGGUAGGCACCACCAGAGUCUUGGACUUUCGGUCUUUUAAACUCAUAGGUUCUGCAUCACCUUACAUUGGAAAUUUGAGCUUUCUAAAAGAACUACAUCCCCAAAACAAGAGCUUCAUCCAUGAAAUGCCUUCAGAAAUUGGUUGUUUACGGAGAUUGGAUGAACUAAAUCUUAACAACAACUCAAACAUGAUGGGAAAUCCUGCUAAUAUAUCCGGUUGCUCAAACCUUGUCUGGAUGGAGCUAGUGUUGGAAAAAUCACUGUUCCUUCCAAAGAUCUUCAAAGACUUAUGUCAACCAAAUAAUAAAAAAAAAAUUGAAUGAUAAAUAAUAUCAAUCACACAAUACAAGAUUACAUAAAAAACUCUAAAUUUAGAGAAAAAACUAGGACCGUUUUUAAAAGAACUAUUUGAAAAAAUUUUAUUAAGGGAAAAAAUAAUUACAAUCACGUUUUCAAUAAUUUUUCCAUCAGCCAAGCCCCACAUUCUUAGUGAUUUGGAUUAUUUAAUUUGAACUGUAUAGCCAAAUAAUGGCUUCAUAAAUCAACAAUAUCGACUUCAACAUUCAGCGAAAGCGGCACCAAAACAAAAGACGCAAGCCCGCAAAUUUCAAGGCAAUAAAUGCUUCGUCCGACUCUCUCAGUUUUGUCAAAAGAAAGAAACACGGCCCACUCUCUUGAAUUUGCUUUGCGUGUGGCUCCCGCUUUCUUAUCACCACGCUUUGUGGAUUCUGACUUUGUGGACUCUGACAGGUGCAAAAAAUAUGCUUACAAAAUUAGAGUAUUAAAUUUAUAUUUUAAAUAAUUUGUAACUAACCAGUAAUUAUUGUGUUAAUUAUUUUCAUUUAAAAUAUCAUCAUUAAUGAGAUAAUUUAAAUAUAAAUUAAUGAACGAUACUGCCAUGAACGACACUAUUAUGUGAUGUUUUUACUCGUAAUUUUCAUUAUAAUAAAAUAAAUAAAAUGAAAUAAUGUUUAAAAACAGUCAUUCACUUCAUUCUUAUUUGGUAUAAUUUUUUAAUUGGCCAAAAAUAUUUUUUUUAAUUUCAAAAACUUUUUUAUUUUUUAUUUUUAUUUUUUAACUUAAAAAGAGUUUUUGAAGAUUGAAAAAAAAAAAAAACUUUAGCUCAAAUUUUAAGCACAUGGAAGAAGAGGAUGUUGAUAUUUUUAAAGAAUUUCUAAUGUAAACCACUACAUUAAUCCAAUGGUUCAUGUAAAUUACCAAUGUCAAAUUUUAGCCAUUAAAUUAAUCCAAUGGUUCAACGAACAGUUGGUAAAGAAAAAUCAUAAUAUUAAUAAUUGUCAAGUCAGUGGCGUGUACAAUUAUCUUCCACUUCCGCUAUCGUUACUUGCUCUAAGCAUUUACAUUUAUCAAGUAUUUUUUAUAAGAGAGGAAUAGUUGCAUUUGCAUACAAUUGAUCGAAAAAAAUCAUGUCUGAUUGUAGAGGCCAAAGGUGGUCUCUCAAGGAUAUGACAGCCCUUGUCACAGGUGGUACUAAAGGCAUCGGAAAAUUUACAUCAAUAACCAUAAACAUUUUGACUUUUUCCAUCUUAACCCGCCAAACAAACUUCUAUCAACAUUAGCCAUAAAAAGACCUUUGAGACUAAAAUAUCCCUCUCUUAUCUCUCCCCCAACAAUCUCUCUUUCUCCCAUCUCUCCCAAACCGAAGAACCUCCCAUCAUUGGCAGCCAUCGCUGGGCAACAGUGGGUGUGCGCGCGCCCGUGCAGUCGCACCAGUUCUGCAGUGAUCUUCCUGACAAGGCUAGGCCUCAUUUCUACAGUGAUCUUCCUGUCGAUGCCAAAAACAUUGUUGUUCAUAUUACCAUCAUUUGUUCUAUUUAGGAAGCCGAGAUAUUGAGAUGCAGCAGCGCCUUGGAUGCCUGCGGAAGGCAUGAAGAUGAAGACCAGACCAUGGCCUGCAAUUCUAAGUUGGCUAGCAGUCUGGCAAUAUAUAGUUGCUGCAGCAACAAUAAAUCGAAAUUUUCUUCAAACAUUAAAUCCCAAACUAGAGAGUUAAGGCCCCAUUUGCCGAGUGGAAACAAAAAUACAAGUGAUGAAUUGCAAAUAGAUUUUUCAAGUUUUGGUGCGACAGGCGCCUGUCGCACCAAGCUUUGUGCGACAGGCAGCCUGUCGCCAAAUUCACCCACGAUUCGCAGUUCACUGAAACUCUCGAGCAAGUUCAGAAAAUAAUUCAUACCACUAUGUGAUGCCGAUUAGUGUUGGAUUCGGAUAAAUUAUGAUCGGAUUUCAUUUUUAUCGUUACCUUUUGCCGUCGUCGUUGGUUGAUGAUUCAAGAGUGGAAAGCUGGCUUUGGUUUGACGAAAGAGGAGAAAGAAAGUUGCUUUUGGUUUGUAAAGAAGGGUAAUUUGGGGAGAAAAGCGUGUGUUUGGCUAAUAUUGAUAGAAAAAAAUUGAGAGGGUUAGUUGUGAAAAUAGCAAAAGUUUUAUGGUUAUUUUCGUAAAUUUCCCAAAGGCAUCGGGUUUGUGCUUUCUUUUCUUUGCUUCAAUUUUCCUCUCCUAAUUCAAUAUUAUUCUAUGUCCUUUUGUUACUAUUUAUGUUGUUAAUGAAUUGAUUGAUCAGAUAUGCUAUAGUAAAAGAACUAGCAGCAUUUGGAGCAAUAGUUCAUACAUGUUCCCGUAACGAAGCCGAACUCAAUCAAAGAGUUCAAGAAUGGAAGAGUAUGGGGCUUAAAGUAAGUGGCUCUGUAUGUGACCUUAAAGUUAGAGCUCAGCAGGAGAAGCUGAUGGAGACUGUCUCUUCUCUGUUUGAUGGCAAGCUCAACAUCCUCGUAAGUUCUACAGCUGCCAUGUUCACAAAGAACUUUAUUUGUCAAGAAUCAUGACAUCAAUUGAUGAAAAAUGAUAUUUUAUCCAGAAUAUAUGAUGCUACCAUUUUUUUUUUUAACUGUAAGAUCAUAUGGUGUGAAGGUGUAUCCUGUUCCCAUAGUAAAUAUUUUUUUUUCUAGAUAAAUACCAGUACUAAAUUGAUACUAAAGCAAAAGCGAUCAUAAUUGGAAUUACAUAUAUUUUGGACCUUGUCCCACAUAAAAUGGCAGAAAAAAUGAUAAGAAUCAGGAUCAAAACCAGUGAAUUAGAUAGUUAAGAUAGACAAAGGAAUAAGAAGCUGACUUCAUAUGAGAAUAUAAUAUGAGAUGGUUUAGGAAAUAAAAUAAUUUUUGUAAGGACUGCUUCACUUUCUAAGUCAACAAGGUUGCAACUCUGUAGUCUAUUUAGCUUCUCCACACUGAAGAACUGCUCUAUUACUGAUGAUCAUUGUAUCAGGUUAACAAUGCUGGAAUCAGCAUUCCUAAGGAAGCCACAGAAUUUACCAUGGAGGAUUUCUCAACUAUAAUUACCACCAAUUUCGAGUCUGCUUAUCAUCUGUCUCAAAUUGCACACCCACUCUUAAAAGCGUCAGGAAAUGGAAACAUCAUAUUUAUAUCCUCUGUUGCAGGCGUUAUUGCUUUACCUAUGUGUUCCAUCUAUGCAUCGAGUAAAGGUACAGUUCAAUAUAUAUAUAUAUAUAUAUUUCGAAAAUCUAGUUUCAAGAAAGUCUUUUCGAUACUAACUGAAUAGUCUUCUGUACUUCAGGGGCGAUGAAUGAACUCACAAAGAACUUGGCAUGCGAGUGGGCAAAGGACAAAAUUCGUGUGAAUUCAGUUGCACCAUGGAUGAUUAGAACUCCACUCCUUGAUAACUUUGAAGUAUGAACUCAUUCCCUUCACCCUUUUCUGUGAUUGCUAUAUCUUUUUGUUCUAUUUUCCUCAUUCCAUCCAUCUAAUUAAAAACACCCAUUAAAGUAUUAUGCUCCUAAGUUUUAGCAUACAAUUACUAUGGAAAUCAUGUUACACAUAAUCCUUUAUUUCCAGCUAAUAGAGCAUACAUAUAUAGAAAAAAUUCACAGGAUUGAAAGUCCAAGGCACCCCAUUAUGUCAAAUUAGGUAGUGCCAAUUGCUUAUAUCUUUUGAGUAAGCAAAUCUCUUGCAUUUGGAAGAAAUGGUGCUUAAUAGCUUAUGUUAACUAUUAAUUUUCUUUUCUUUUAGAAAGAUUCUACGUUCCUGGAACAAGCAAAUCGCUUGAUACUCCGUACUCCUAUCCCCCGUCCUAGAGAACCUAACGAGGUUUCGUCAGUGGUAGCAUUCUUAUGCUUCCCAGCUGCUUCAUAUGUCACCGGGCAGGUUAUUUGUGUUGAUGGAGGAUAUUCUAUCACUGG